GGGAAGGUAGCUCAGUGGGAGAGUGCUUGCCUCGCAUGCAUGAGGCCCUGGGUUCAAUCCCUCAGCCCCA
rfam:Dipodomys ordii contig_29791, whole genome shotgun sequence.